GUCGGAUUAGCUAGUUGGUAGGGUAACGGCCUACCAAGGCGACGAUCCGUAGCUGGUCUGAGAGGACGAUCAGCCACACUGGGACUGAGACACGGCCCAGACUCCUACGGGAGGCAGCAGUGGGGAAUCUUGGACAAUGGGGGAAACCCUGAUCCAGCAAUGCCGCGUGUGUGAAGAAGGCCUUCGGGUUGUAAAGCACUUUCGAUAGGGAAGAAAAGCUGGGUGUGAAUAACAGCCAGUCUUGACGCUACCUAGAGAAGAAGCACCGGCUAACUCUGUGCCAGCAGCCGCGGUAAUACAGAGGGUGCAAGCGUUAAUCGGAAUUACUGGGCGUAAAGCGCGCGUAGGCGGUUCGAUAAGUCGGGUGUGAAAGCCCCGGGCUCAACCUGGGAAUGCCAUUCGAUACUGUCGAGCUAGAGUAUGGUAGAGGAAAGCGGAAUUCCACAUGUAGCGGUGAAAUGCGUAGAUAUGUGGAGGAACGUCAGUGGCGAAGGCGGCUUUCUGG
rnacentral:rRNA from 1 species